AGUGGCGGACGGGUGAGUAACGCGUGGGUAACCUGCCUUAUACAGGGGGAUAACAGUCAGAAAUGGCUGCUAAUACCGCAUAAGCGCACAGAGCUGCAUGGCUCAGUGUGAAAAACUCCGGUGGUAUAAGAUGGACCCGCGUUGGAUUAGCUUGUUGGCGGGGUAACGGCCCACCAAGGCGACGAUCCAUAGCCGGCCUGAGAGGUUGAUCGGCCACAUUGGGACUGAGACACGGCCCAGACUCCUACGGGAGGCAGCAGUGGGGAAUAUUGCACAAUGGAGGAAACUCUGAUGCAGCGAUGCCGCGUGAGGGAAGAAGGUUUUAGGAUUGUAAACCUCUGUCUUUGGGGACGAAAAAUGACGGUACCCAAGGAGGAAGCUCCGGCUAACUACGUGCCAGCAGCCGCGGUAAUACGUAGGGAGCGAGCGUUGUCCGGAAUUACUGGGUGUAAAGGGAGCGUAGGCGGGAUCGCAAGUCAGAUGUGAAAACUAUGGGCUUAACCCAUAAACUGCAUUUGAAACUGUGGUUCUUGAGUGAAGUAGAGGUAAGCGGAAUUCCUAGUGUAGCGGUGAAAUGCGUAGAUAUUAGGAGGAACAUCAGUGGCGAAGGCGGCUUACUGGGCUUUAACUGACGCUGAGGCUCGAAAGCGUGGGGAGCAAACAGGAUUAGAUACCCUGGUAGUCCACGCCGUAAACGAUGAUUACUAGGUGUGGGGGGACUGACCCCUUCCGUGCCGCAGCAAACGCAAUAAGUAAUCCACCUGGGGAGUACGACCGCAAGGUUGAAACUCAAAGGAAUUGACGGGGGCCCGCACAAGCAGUGGAGUAUGUGGAUUAAUUCGAAGCAACGCGAAGAACCUUACCAGGUCUUGACAUCGUAUGCAUAGCUCAGAGAUGAGUGAAAUCUCUUCGGAGACAUAUAGACAGGUGGUGCAUGGUUGUCGUCAGCUCGUGUCGUGAGAUGUUGGGUUAAGUCCCGCAACGAGCGCAACCCUUACUGUUAGUUGCUACGCAAGAGCACUCUAGCAGGACUGCCGUUGACAAAACGGAGGAAGGUGGGGAUGACGUCAAAUCAUCAUGCCCCUUAUGACCUGGGCCUCACACGUACUACAAUGGCUGUCAACAGAGGGAUGCAAAGCCGCGAGCUGGAGCGAACCCCUAAAAGCAGUCUUAGUUCGGAUUGUAGGCUGCAACCCGCCUACAUGAAGUCGGAAUUGCUAGUAAUCGCAGAUCAGCAUGCUGCGGUGAAUACGUUCCCGGGCCUUGUACACACCGCCCGUCA
rnacentral:rRNA from 1 species